GAUGAACGCUGGCGGCGUGCCUAAUACAUGCAAGUCGAGCGAACAGACGAGGAGCUUGCUCCUCUGACGUUAGCGGCGGACGGGUGAGUAACACGUGGAUAACCUACCUAUAAGACUGGGAUAACUUCGGGAAACCGGAGCUAAUACCGGAUAAUAUAUUGAACCGCAUGGUUCAAUAGUGAAAGACGGUUUUGCUGUCACUUAUAGAUGGAUCCGCGCCGCAUUAGCUAGUUGGUAAGGUAACGGCUUACCAAGGCAACGAUGCGUAGCCGACCUGAGAGGGUGAUCGGCCACACUGGAACUGAGACACGGUCCAGACUCCUACGGGAGGCAGCAGUAGGGAAUCUUCCGCAAAGGGCGAAAGCCUGACGGAGCAACGCCGCGUGAGUGAUGAAGGUCUUCGGAUCGUAAAACUCUGUUAUUAGGGAAGAACAAAUGUGUAAGUAACUAUGCACGUCUUGACGGUACCUAAUCAGAAGGCCACGGCUAACUACGUG
rnacentral:rRNA from 1 species